ACGGGAGGCAGCAGUGAGGAAUAUUGGACAAUGGGGGCAACCCUGAUCCAGCCAAACCGCGUGAGGGAUGAAGGUCCUACGGAUCGUAAACCUCUUUUAUGUGGGAAUAAUUAGUGGAACGUGUUCCACUUUGAAGGUACCACUUGAAUAAGCAUCGGCUAACUCCGUGCCAGCAGCCGCGGUAAUACGGAGGAUGCGAGCGUUAUCCGGAUUUAUUGGGUUUAAAGGGUGCGCAGGCGGCACGUUAAGUCAGCGGUGAAAUGUCGGGGCUCAACCCGGGCACUGCCGUUGAAACUGGCGAGCUUGAGUACGGAUGAAGUCGGCGGAAUGUGAUGUGUAGCGGUGAAAUGCUUAGAUAUGUCACAGAACACCGAUUGCGAAGGCAGCUGACUAAUCCGCAACUGACGCUCAGGCACGAAAGCGUGGGGAUCGAACAGGAUUAGAUACCCUGGUA
rnacentral:rRNA from 1 species